GCUUGCUUAGCUCAGUUGGUAGAGCAGCUGAUUUGUAAUCAGCAGGUCGUGAGUUCAAGUCUCUCAGCAAGCU
rnacentral:tRNA from 1 species